GAUGAACGCUGGCGGCGUGCCUAACACAUGCAAGUCGAGCGGCAGCGAGGGGUGCUUGCACCCUGUCGGCGAGCGGCGGACGGCUGAGUAACGCGUGGGAACGUGCCCCAAAGUGAGGAAUAACUGCCCGAAAGGGUAGCUAAUACCGCAUAUUAUCUUCGGAUCAAAGGAUUUAUCCGCUUUGGGAGCGGCUCGCGUCGGAUUAGGUAGUUGGUGAGGUAAUGGCUCACCAAGCCGACGAUCCGUAGCUGGUCUGAGAGGAUGACCAGCCAGACUGGAACUGAGACACGGUCCAGACUCCUACGGGAGGCAGCAGUGAGGAAUCUUCCACAAUGGGCGAAAGCCUGAUGGAGCAACGCCGCGUGCAGGACGAAGGCCUUCGGGUUGUAAACUGCUUCUAUAAGUGAGGAAUAUGACGGUAACUUAUGAAUAAGGAUCGGCUAACUACGUG
rnacentral:rRNA from 1 species